rnacentral:tRNA from 1 species
GAGGGUGUAGCUCAGUGGUAGAGCACAUGCUUAGCGUGCACAAGGUCCUAGGUUCAAUUCCCAGUGCCUCCA